rnacentral:rRNA from 1 species
CACGUAGUUAGCCGGGGCUUCUUAGUCAGGUACCGUCUUUUUCGUCCCUGCUGAUAGAGCUUUACAUACCGAAAUACUUCCUCGCUCACGCGGCGUCGCUGCAUCAGGGUUUCCCCCAUUGUGCAAUAUUCCCCACUGCUGCCUCCCGUAGGAGUUUGGGCCGUGUCCCAGUCCCAAUGUGGCCGGUCGCCCUCUCAGGCCGGCUACUGAUCGUUGCCUUGGUGGGCUUUUACCUCCUACC